CCAUAUUCGGUUUCGCCGAGAAUCGUGAACACGUACGCCGGAAGCAAUGCGGGGUAAUUAUUUGAUUUAUUUCAUAAUAUUAUUUAACAUAUAUCGUGAAAAGUUCUGAAUAUUCGGAUUCUUCUGUUAUCGUUUCAUCGUGUGUUAGCAUUAUCAGCUCUCGGUAUCGAAUUGACAAACAGAAUUUUUCUCAUAGAAAUUCGAUAGUUUACAUUUCACGGGCCCCGUGUUGCACCCGCAUUGCUUUCGUUCCUGUUUCCAACGUAUAAGUGUAGCGUCAGUGAUUCGCGUGACGCGACGUAACCUUCAACGUUUGUUUUUCUCGGUUUAUGCGUUGUGUGUUCGUUUGAAUGAAAAUGUCGCGAGUGUUGUAACAAAAACCACGGAAAACAGAAGAAGAAUACGGGAGCAAAAGGAAUUCCAGGCUACAGCAGAAUGCCCAUUACCCAACAGGGUUUCGUUCCAUGGUAUUUCAACGAGGCGAAUAAAGAGAAAUAGGAUAAUCGAGACUGGUGAAAAAGGAUCAACCUUUUCAGCAAUGGCAAGGCACAUCCCGCAUCUGAUACAAGCGGAAGAGAAAUCAAUUCCUAUCAUGUCACACGGCCACUGCAAUGAGAAAGGAAUUCCUGAAGCCAAAAAAAAUGAUACAUCCAAAUAGCAGAAAGUCUAUCGCUAUUACGAAAAAAGCCAAAAAAAUAUCAAAUAGACAGAAGGCAGAAAUGUCCCGCUUGAUAAAACAGAAUUCAAUAGGAGAGAAAAUAUCAUGGAUCAGAAACAAUAUGAUUCCAGGCGUGUGUCCCUAUACUCCAGAGUUAACUGCAAGUUUGUUAGAAACGGAGGUAUGUAGCAAGAAAUGAUGAAGCAAUGGAAGAAAUUACUAUUAAAAGAUCUAUAGGUAGCAACAGGAGUAGACAGCAUGCUAGGAGGGAACAUAUAAUUAGAGUAGAAAGAACUAGGAGAAUAUCAUACACGUGGAAUAGAAAUUUCUGAUAUUUUAAAUGCAACUCAGUGUGAAAUGUUAUUGAAUUGGAAUAAUGAAUUACAGUGUGUGAAUAAUUCUAAAUUUAUAAGGUUUGGCGAGAAAGAUUUAAAGAAAGUAUUAGAGCUAAGACAAAGAAUGAAAAUAAGCCAUAUUAGACUAUUCAAAUCUCUGUUAGCUAUGCCUGUAAACAAGAAGAAUUUAUUAAAUUACUAUUAUAUGAUACCGAGGGGAACUUUGAUGUAUUAGAAGGAUGCUGUGAAAUUCGAAAGGACGGGAUGAAAGUCAAGAGGACACCAUGGUGAUUAACGAUAAAUUUGAUAACUUUUCGUCGAAAUGUGAUAAUAUUUGUUCACUUUUAGAUUAACUCCAUUUCUUAUAAAUAUUUCGUGAUAUUAUCGUAAUUAAUAUCUAAUAUAACAAAUUCUAAAUUCACGGUUUAUUAGAACACCAAGAUGAAAAAUGCAAGAUUAAAGAAAUUAUUUUUUUCUUUCGAAUAUAUUAAAUUAUAUUUCCGAAGAAAUUGAAUAGAUUGUUUAACAUAAAUUUAACAUAGAUUCUCUCGAUUCUGUUUCAUUUGAGUAAGAAAUUCAAAUAACUUUCUCAUUUUGCUUCAUUAUUCGUAAAUUGUCUGUAAUAUAAUAUGGACUAUUAAUUUCGUUUUUCUCAAUAACUUUUAUUACAUUUGAGAAAUUACGUUAUCACAGACUAGUUAAAACAGUUUCUGCAUAUCGCGUUAUUUUCGUAUUGCGCAGCUUUGUUUAACGGGCAGAAAAAGUGCGCCAUGUUGCAUUAGAACGAAGUCAAGUAAUGCAUAAAAUAUUUGAAAUUAUAAUGGCGGACAUUCUAUUUGGCGGAUAACUUUUACAAAUCAAUCGUAUUAUGCAAUAUUCAUACAUAUAUUUGACAAUAAUAAAAAAUACUUUGAAAAUAUUUUAAAUAUACUAACGAUAUAUUUUCUUUCGCAUUUUUGGUAUAAUAUUUAUGUGUAUAUUUUCGUGCUCUUGAUAUGAUAUAUGAUUCUACCUAUGGUAAAUAAAUAAUAAUUAAUUCGUA